UGUAGGAUUGUUUUCCUUCUUUCUGAAAUACUUCCUUUGGAAGUUUCUUUUGAUACAGGGAUCUGGUGGUAAUGAACUCUUUUUGUCUCUACGACUGUAGAAUUUUCUGGUCCUCCAACUCUGAUCACAGAAGAUAAGAAGCAUUCAGCGUCUCCAUCACCAUGACCCACAGGUACCUGGUGCCUCGGGGCUGGAGACACCUGUGUGCAGGCUGGCUGUCGUGCACUUUCUCAGGCUCUUCUGGCUGAGCAAAGUGACAGUUCUCCUUGUGGCGAGAAGUGUGGGACAGGCACCAGAGGGGGACUUGCUACCACGAUCACUGCCGAGAUUCACCUGGAGAGACCAGAGCAGGACGAGGACGGCGUGUGCAGUGCCUUGUCUCCUGCUGAGACCCAGCAAGUAUCAGUGUGGACCAUGGAUUUUUUCAAACGGGAUGAAGAGCCGCCAGGAAUUCGUGACAUCCCGGGAGCCGCCAGAGCUGGACGCUGAUGGAGACCUGAAUGGGAGCCGAUGCAAAGUCCUGCUCCUUCUCGCCGGCCUGCAGCUGAACCAGCACCUGGUGGAGCUGAGUGAGGGAGAACAGCAUGAGCUCUCACUCCUUCCCAGUGUCUCCUUCCCCUCUGGCCCGCCUCAGAUUUGUCCCCAAGUUAUUCUUGUGUCACCUGUUAGUGUCAUCGCUAAUGCCCUUACAUGUACAUAGCAUCUGAAAUUCUUUUUACAGUG